rnacentral:sRNA from 1 species
UUUUCUCCGCGUUAGGGAUUGAAGUGGAAAUCCUUUUUUAAUGUAACGCAGUGAAAUUUAAAAAGAUUGAAACGAAAAUCCCGGCCGCAG